GUCGAUCUGGAUAUCUUAUUGGAGAGAUGGUGUACCCAGGAGAAUAGGGAGUAUGCGGCGAAAAUGAAGAGCUUGCGAGCAUUAAAUGAUUCACCACAUUGCACCGGAUCAAUGAGCUAUGCCAGGUUGACACAUGAGGAGGCCGAACGUUUGGGCCAUCAACCCACUCGUGCACACAAUUAUGUCAAGUCACACACGAAGAAGGGCGGUGGAUAUCCG